rnacentral:rRNA from 1 species
AUUGAACGCUGGCGGCGGGCCUAACACAUGCAAGUCGAGCGGAUGAGGGGAGCUUGCUCCUGGAUUCAGCGGCGGACGGGUGAGUAAUGCCUAGGAAUCUGCCUGGUAGUGGGGGAUAACGUCCGGAAACGGGCGCUAAUACCGCAUACGUCCUGAGGGAGAAAGUGGGGGAUCUUCGGACCUCACGCUAUCAGAUGAGCCUAGGUCGGAUUAGCUAGUUGGUGGGGUAAAGGCCUACCAAGGCGACGAUCCGUAACUGGUCUGAGAGGAUGAUCAGUCACACUGGAACUGAGACACGGUCCAGACUCCUACGGGAGGCAGCAGUGGGGAAUAUUGGACAAUGGGCGAAAGCCUGAUCCAGCCAUGCCGCGUGUGUGAAGAAGGUCUUCGGAUUGUAAAGCACUUUAAGUUGGGAGGAAGGGCAGUAAGUUAAUACCUUGCUGUUUUGACGUUACCAACAGAAUAAGCACCGGCUAACUUCGUG